rnacentral:ncRNA from 1 species
ACCAAGGAGUCUAACAUGUGCGCGAGCCGCGGGGCAGUACGAAACCCGUAAGGCGAAAUGAAGGUGAACGCCGGCGCGGUCCGGCGGAGGUUGGAUCCCGUCCCGUCGGGGCGGGCGCACUACCGGCCGAUCUUCUCCGCCCUGUCGGCGAGGUCGAGCGAGAGCGUGCAAGUCGGGACCCGAAAGAUGGUGAACUAUGCCUGAGGAGGUUGAAGCCAGAGGAAACUCUGGUGGAGGACCGUAGCGAUUCUGACGUGCAAAUCGAUCGUCAAAUUUGGGUAUAGGGGCGAAAGACUAAUCGAACCGCCUAGUAGUUGGUUCCCU